GUCACAGACGAGAGGAGGAGAGGAGAGAGGAGAGGAGGGGGCAGGAACAGCACAGGUCAUAUCGGAGAGGGCAGGAACAGCACAGGUCACAGAGGAGAGGAGAGGAGAGAGGAGGGGAGGAGAGGGCAGGAACAGCACAGGUCACAGAGGAGAGGAGAGAGGAGGGGAGGAGAGGGCAGGAACAGCACAGGUCACAGAGGAGAGGAGAGGGGAGGAGAGGAAAGGGCAGGAACAGCACAGGUCACAGAGGAAAGUAGAGUAGAAGAGAGAGGAGAGGGCCGGAACAGCACAGGUCACAGAGGAGAGGAGAGGAGAAUAGAGGAGAGGGCAGGAACAGCACAGGUCACAGAGGAGAGGAGAGGGCAGGAACAGCACAGGUCACAGAGGAGAGUAGAGUAGAAGAGAGAGGAGAGGGCAGGAACAGCACAGGUCACAGAGGAGAGGAGAGGGCAGGAACAGCACAGGUCACAGAGGAGAGGAAAGGAAAGGAGUCCACUAUUGUGUGCAGGAAUAUCUUUGGCAAGGCUGUUAGGACAUGACAUGUGUCAUGUGGAAGAAGGGAUCCCAUUGCUUACAGAGUUCCAUAUAAGGCUAUGGUUUAUCACCGCCUCAUAUCUUAGCUUUCUACAAUUGAAAUAAUACAGGUAACCUACUGGAACACCAUUUGCUGCACUAACUGUCUGCUGGAUGUGACAAGCGCAGAAUGAGUUGAGCAGUAGGUGCAUCUUUUAACCCCAACAUGGUUAGUUGAUGAUGUGUCUAUGUAAUCACCAUGUCACCAUGACAUCUAGGGUCACUACAUCAAAUGAGUAAUAACGAGAGAUUGAGGCACACACUUAAAGAUGCAUUCUCAAACUUUUGUAUAAUUUCUGCCAGUAGUUUAGAAAG
rnacentral:lncRNA from 1 species